GUGGAAGAUUUUUGGUCUCCUCAGCAGCGGCUUUUCUUGCGGCGGCGGCGGCGGCGGCGGCAGCGGCAGCAAGAGAAGGAAAGGCAGCCCUAGCUAUGACUGCCGCAUGUUAAUAGCUCCCGCUUGGGUCCGCGGGCUGCAGCCAGAGACACAGCCUGACUCCGAAGUUGUGCAACUGUGCCCUGGGAGAGACAUUUGAACCCUCCUUCUCUUUGCUCCGCUUUUGCCCCCUGGGGCGUGUGAAGCGAGGAAACCUAAAGGAAGACUAACGUUUGGCUUUCCCGGCUUCCCCUUUCUCCAUGGCUGUGUAGAAGAAGAAAGGAAAGAGACACUUUUUGUUGUUUCUUUGACUGGGGUCUCCACCCUCCUGCCGUCUCUGCGUUUUGAUUAUAAUUCUUUGCUUGGUGUAGCUGGGGUGUCUACACUGGGGCCGGUCCAGCCUUUUUUUUUUUUUUUCCUUUCUUUUUCUUUCUUUCUUUUUUCUUUUUUUGCCCCGGGGCUCAAUGGAUGGAUUGUGGAGAACUGCACUGGGUUGCAGGUUGUUGAGCAACUGAUGGGACCAUCUCAGGGACCGGCGGUUACGAAAGAUGCUGAUUUGAAGAACUGCCCUGAAAACUGAUACACCAGCCAAGCCAAAGGGAGGAGGAGAGAGCCGGGACCAGGGCCAGCAGAAGAGAAGAAGAGAGCGUCCAAGUGUCUGCCUUCCUCUUAAGAAGCCUAUCCUUAAGAAGUCACCUUAGACUUGCCCUCACCCCGCCCGCUCGUGAGGGCAGGCAUGUUUAGG
rnacentral:lncRNA from 1 species